rnacentral:rRNA from 1 species
UACGUAGGGAGCAAGCGUUGUCCGGAAUCAUUGGGCGUAAAGCGCGCGUAGGUGGCCUCAUAAGUCCGCUGUGAAAGUCAAAGGCUCAACCUUUGAAAGCCGGUGGAUACUGUGAGGCUAGAGUACGGAAGAGGUGAGUGGAAUUCCUGGUGUAGCGGUGGAAUGCGCAGAUAUCGGGAGGAACACCCAUGGCGAAGGCAGCUCUCUGGGUUUCACCUGACACUGAGGCGCGAAAGCGUGGGGAGCGAACGGG